UGCGUAGGCGGGAGAUUAAGUCAGUGGUGAAAUCCUACAGCUUAACUGUAGAAUUGCCAUUGAUACUGGUUUUCUUGAGUGUAGUUGAAGUGGGCGGAAUGUGUAUUGUAGCGGUGAAAUGCUUAGAUAUUACACAGAACACCUAUUGCGAAGGCAGCUCACUAAACUAAUACUGACGCUGAGGCACGAAAGCGUGGGGAGCAAACAGGAUUAGAUACCCUGGUAGUCC
rnacentral:rRNA from 1 species